CCGGUUGAUCCUGCCGGACCUGACUGCUAUCGGAUUGAUACUAAGCCAUGCGAGUCAUUGUAGCAAUACAAGGCAGACGGCUCAGUAACGCGUAGUCAACCUAACCUAUGGACGGGAAUAACCUCGGGAAACUGAGAAUAAUGCCCGAUAGAACACUAUAUCUGGAAUGGUUUGUGUUCCAAAUGAUUUAUCGCCGUAGGAUGGGACUGCGGCCUAUCAGUUUGUUGGUGAGGUAAUGGCCCACCAAGACUAUUACAGGUACGGGCUCUGAGAGGAGUAGCCCGGAGAUGGGUACUGAGACACGGACCCAGGCCCUAUGGGGCGCAGCAGGCGAGAAAACUUUGCAAUGUGCGAAAGCACGACAAGGUUAAUCCGAGUGGUUUGUGCUAAACGAACCUUUUGUCGGUCCUAGAAACACCGAUGAAUAAGGGGUGGGCAAGUUCUGGUGUCAGCCGCCGCGGUAAAACCAGCACCUCAAGUGGUCAGGAUGAUUAUUGGGCCUAAAGCAUCCGUAGCCGGCGCUGUAAGUUUUCGGUUAAAUCUGUACGCUCAACGUACAGGCUGCCGGGAAUACUGCAGCGCUAGGGAGUGGGAGAGGUAGACGGUACUCGGUAGGAAGGGGUAAAAUCCUUUGAUCUAUUGAUGACCACCUGUGGCGAAGGCGGUCUACCAGAACACGUCCGACGGUGAGGGAUGAAAGCUGGGGGAGCAAACCGGAUUAGAUACCCGGGUAGUCCCAGCUGUAAACUAUGCAAACUCAGUGAUGCAUUGGCUUGUGGCCAAUGCAGUGCUGCAGGGAAGCCGUUAAGUUUGCCGCCUGGGAAGUACGUACGCAAGUAUGAAACUUAAAGGAAUUGGCGGGGGAGCACCACAAGGGGUGAAGCCUGCGGUUCAAUUGGAUUCAACGCCGGGAAUC
rnacentral:rRNA from 1 species